rnacentral:rRNA from 1 species
GUGUGUUAGUGGAAGCGUCUGGAAAGGCGCGCGAUACAGGGUGACAGCCCCGUACACAAAAAUGCACAUGCUGUGAGCUCGAUGAGUAGGGCGGGACACGUGGUAUCCUGUCUGAAUAUGGGGGGACCAUCCUCCAAGGCUAAAUACUCCUGACUGACCGAUAGUGAACCAGUACCGUGAGGGAAAGGCGAAAAGAACCCCGGCGAGGGGAGUGAAAAAGAACCUGAAACCGUGUACGUACAAGCAGUGGGAGCACGCUUAGGCGUGUGACUGCGUACCUUUUGUAUAAUGGGUCAGCGACUUAUAUUCUGUAGCAAGGUUAACCGAAUAGGGGAGCCGAAGGGAAACCGAGUCUUAACUGGGCGUUAAGUUGCAGGGUAUAGACCCGAAACCCGGUGAUCUAGCCAUGGGCAGGUUGAAGGUUGGGUAACACUAACUGGAGGACCGAACCGACUAAUGUUGAAAAAUUAGCGGAUGACUUGUGGCUGGGGGUGAAAGGCCAAUCAAACCGGGAGAUAGCUGGUUCUCCCCGAAAGCUAUUUAGGUAGCGCCUCGUGAAUUCAUCUCCGGGGGUAGAGCACUGUUUCGGCAAGGGGGUCAUCCCGACUUACCAACCCGAUGCAAACUACGAAUACCGGAGAAUGUUAUCACGGGAGACACACGGCGGGUGCUAACGUCCGUCGUGAAGAGGGAAACAACCCAGACCGCCAGCUAAGGUCCCAAAGUCAUGGUUAAGUGGGAAACGAUGUGGGAAGGCCCAGACAGCCAGGAUGUUGGCUUAGAAGCAGCCAUCAUUUAAAGAAAGCGUAAUAGCUCACUGGUCGAGUCGGCCUGCGCGGAAGAUGUAACGGGGCUAAACCAUGCACCGAAGCUGCGGCAGCGACGCUUAUGCGUUGUUGGGUAGGGGAGCGUUCUGUAAGCCUGCGAAGGUGUGCUGUGAGGCAUGCUGGAGGUAUCAGAAGUGCGAAUGCUGACAUAAGUAACGAUAAAGCGGGUGAAAAGCCCGCUCGCCGGAAGACCAAGGGUUCCUGUCCAACGUUAAUCGGGGCAGGGUGAGUCGACCCCUAAGGCGAGGCCGAAAGGCGUAGUCGAUGGGAAACAGGUUAAUAUUCCUGUACUUGGUGUUACUGCGAAGGGGGGACGGAGAAGGCUAUGUUGGCCGGGCGACGGUUGUCCCGGUUUAAGCGUGUAGGCUGGUUUUCCAGGCAAAUCCGGAAAAUCAAGGCUGAGGCGUGAUGACGAGGCACUACGGUGCUGAAGCAACAAAUGCCCUGCUUCCAGGAAAAGCCUCUAAGCAUCAGGUAACAUCAAAUCGUACCCCAAACCGACACAGGUGGUCAGGUAGAGAAUACCAAGGCGCUUGAGAGAACUCGGGUGAAGGAACUAGGCAAAAUGGUGCCGUAACUUCGGGAGAAGGCACGCUGAUAUGUAGGUGAAGUCCCUCGCGGAUGGAGCUGAAAUCAGUCGAAGAUACCAGCUGGCUGCAACUGUUUAUUAAAAACACAGCACUGUGCAAACACGAAAGUGGACGUAUACGGUGUGACGCCUGCCCGGUGCCGGAAGGUUAAUUGAUGGGGUCAGCGCAAGCGAAGCUCUUGAUCGAAGCCCCGGUAAACGGCGGCCGUAACUAUAACGGUCCUAAGGUAGCGAAAUUCCUUGUCGGGUAAGUUCCGACCUGCACGAAUGGCGUAAUGAUGGCCAGGCUGUCUCCACCCGAGACUCAGUGAAAUUGAACUCGCUGUGAAGAUGCAGUGUACCCGCGGCAAGACGGAAAGACCCCGUGAACCUUUACUAUAGCUUGACACUGAACAUUGAGCCUUGAUGUGUAGGAUAGGUGGGAGGCUUUGAAGUGUGGACGCCAGUCUGCAUGGAGCCGACCUUGAAAUACCACCCUUUAAUGUUUGAUGUUCUAACGUUGACCCGUGAUCCGGGUUGCGGACAGUGUCUGGUGGGUAGUUUGACUGGGGCGGUCUCCUCCUAAAGAGUAACGGAGGAGCACGAAGGUUGGCUAAUCCUGGUCGGACAUCAGGAGGUUAGUGCAAUGGCAUAAGCCAGCUUGACUGCGAGCGUGACGGCGCGAGCAGGUGCGAAAGCAGGUCAUAGUGAUCCGGUGGUUCUGAAUGGAAGGGCCAUCGCUCAACGGAUAAAAGGUACUCCGGGGAUAACAGGCUGAUACCGCCCAAGAGUUCAUAUCGACGGCGGUGUUUGGCACCUCGAUGUCGGCUCAUCACAUCCUGGGGCUGAAGUAGGUCCCAAGGGUAUGGCUGUUCGCCAUUUAAAGUGGUACGCGAGCUGGGUUUAGAACGUCGUGAGACAGUUCGGUCCCUAUCUGCCGUGGGCGCUGGAGAACUGAGGGGGGCUGCUCCUAGUACGAGAGGACCGGAGUGGACGCAUCACUGGUGUUCGGGUUGUCAUGCCAAUGGCACUGCCCGGUAGCUAAAUGCGGAAGAGAUAAGUGCUGAAAGCAUCUAAGCACGAAACUUGCCCCGAGAUGAGUUCUCCCUGACUCCUUGAGAGUCCUGAAGGAACGUUGAAGACGACGACGUUGAUAGGCCGGGUGUGUAAGCGCAGCGAUGCGUUGAGCUAACCGGUACUAAUGAACCGUGAGGCUUAACC